rnacentral:rRNA from 1 species
UACGUAGGGUGCGAGCGUUGUCCGGAAUUAUUGGGCGUAACGGGCUCGUAGGCGGUUUGUCGCGUCGGGAGUGAAAUCCACUGGCUUAACUGGUGGCUUGCUUUCGAUACGGGCAGACUGGAGGUAUGCAGGGGAGAACGGAAUUCCUGGUGUAGCGGUGAAAUGCGCAGAUAUCAGGAGGAACACCGGUGGCGAAGGCGGUUCUCUGGGCAUGUCCUGACGCUGAGGAGCGAAAGUGUGGGGAGCGAACAGG